GGGGGUAUAGCUCAGUGGUAGAGCGUGUACUUAUCACACACGAGGUCUUGGGCUGAUUUCCCAGUACCUCCA
rnacentral:tRNA from 1 species